rnacentral:rRNA from 1 species
GGGAAAUUAGGGUUUUGUACCGGAGAGGGAGCCUGAGAGAUUGCUCCCACGUCCAAGGACGGCAGCAGGCGCGAAAAUUGCCCACUCUUUGCAGGAGGCAGUUAUGAGACGUGAAGAUGAGUAUCUUGUAAAGAGGGAUAGGAGAAUUGGAGGGCAAGUUUGGUGCCAGCAGCCGCGGUAAUACCGACUCCAAGAGUGUGUAUGAGAGAUGCUGCAGUUAAAAAGUCCGUAGUCAUAGAAGGGCAAAGAGAGAUGCGAGGUCUCACAGUGCGAUGAUGGAGGAGCCGAUGGGGAACAUAGUAUACCAGGGCGAGAGAUGAAAUGCCAAGACCCCUGGUGGACUGAGCGAGGCGAAGGCGAUGUUCUUGUAGGCAUUCGGUGAUCAAGGACGAAGGCUGGAGUAUCGAAAGUGAUUAGAUACCGCAGUAGUUCCAGCAGUAAAAGAUGCCGACAUGCUCAUUGGACACAGUGGGCAGGGAGAAAUCUUAGAGUUCGGGCUCUGGGGAUAGUAUGCUCGCAAGGGUGAAAAUUAAAGAAAUUGACGGAGCUACACCACAAGGAGUGGAUUGUGCGGCUUAAUUUGACUCAACGCGAGGAAACUUACCAGGGCCAAGUAUUGUGUAGAAACGAGCAAUACAGGAGUGGUGCAUGGUCGUUGGAAAAUUGAUGGGAUGACUUUGACCUUAAAUGGUUGAAUGAGUGAGAUCUUUUGGGACAUGU